AGCGAACGCUGGCGGCAGGCCUAACACAUGCAAGUCGAACGAACUCUUCGGAGUUAGUGGCGGACGGGUGAGUAACACGUGGGAACGUGCCUUUUGGUUCGGAAUAACUCAGGGAAACUUGUGCUAAUACCGAAUGUGCCCUUCGGGGGAAAGAUUUAUCGCCAUUAGAGCGGCCCGCGUCGGAUUAGCUAGUUGGUGAGGUAACGGCUCACCAAGGCGACGAUCAGUAGCUGGUCUGAGAGGAUGACCAGCCACACUGGGACUGAGACACGGCCCAGACUCCUACGGGAGGCAGGAGUGGGGAAUCUUGCGCAAUGGGGGAAAGCCUGACGCAGCCAUGCCGCGUGAAUGAUGAAGGUCGUAGGAUUGUAAAAUUCUUUCACCGGGGACGAUAAUGACGGUACCCGGAGAAGAAGCCCCGGCUAACUUCGUG
rnacentral:rRNA from 1 species